rnacentral:lncRNA from 1 species
CCGAACUUUACGAGUGAGUCUUUUUCCUUCAAUUUAGAUCUUUUCUUCAAUCUUCUGCAAUCAACUCUUCAAGACUCCAUUCAACAUUACGAAAUCCGCCAACCUAUAAAAUCCUUAACACCCAGUACGUCCAAGGCGUCGCAAUCCAAACAAUCAACAAAUGUUCCAAUUAGGAACGGAUAUCAAUCCAGAUUGCAUAAGUAUCAAAUACAUAAUCUACUUGCUAUUACAAGCAUUCAUUUCACAAUCACGUUUUACAUUUUUACUUCCAAUUACAAUAUCACUAUUACAUCAGAGUUUACAAGUUUGAUAUACUUUCUUUUCUUGUCUUCUAGAUCCCUAAGCUAGACUGUCUCAGGGUACUGCUACCUCGGUCUCUGUGGUGGGGCGCUAUCUACUGAGCUACGCCCUCGCCUCGCGCCGCCGCGCCGCACACGAACGACCUGAAAACCCCAAAACAACGUGGGGUGAGAACCAACUCCAUGGUUCCCAGUGGGUACGGCCACCCAAGGGAAAAGCUCGACCGAUAGGUCCGAGGAGGCACUGCAACAUGUUAGUUCAACAAUAUACAACAGAUAUAUAUAUUCAAUUGAAAUACAUGCCAUGCCUCACAAUAUGCGAUUUGAAAAUCAUGCAACAACUAGUAAAUCAUUUGAAUUCUACUUUUACUUGGCUACUUUAGCUCAUAACUUUACUCUAAGUUCUCUAUUACCUUAGAAUCACAACACUACCACUGGCAUCUAAGGUUUCUAUUUACCUUUAGCCUCAAGCCUCUUAUCUUCAGCUCAUUUAAGGCGUUCCUUAGCUUACCCUAUCACAGCCGCUAACACCGACUCGGCUAUCGAGUCAAUCAUCUGCGGUAGUUCUGCGACUGGCGCUCAACAGCCUAACCGCCCCCACUCUCUCUGAACUAGCCUUACUAGCGGCGAAAUCGUCGACACGGUGAACACGGCUGUUGAGUCGCAUGAUUGACCAUCGUGGCGAUGCGUUGCCACUACCCAGCGCUGAACGAGACUGGACAUACGUUGGCGGCGAACGGGUCACACACACCCAACAACGACCAAUGUCAGAUCAUCAUCUGGCAGGCACCCGCAUUCGUUACUUACGCAUGGUUCAGUCUGAUCUGGCGGUUCUGCAUCCUCAAAUGCUUAACCAUCGGCCCAGACGAAAUCGCUCGCACAAACCCACGACAAUGGUUCAAGCCCCAGGCCGGUGAUCUCCAUAUGAUCGCCCCCAAUCAUACCCACGUACAAAGUCGGCCGGCCGAAGUCGUCGCACGAACGCCCUAACCUGUACCAGGGACAUAUAAGUCCUGCGGAUUCCGGAAUCCACUUUUACCACAGGUCGAGCGGUCCAUAACAACCCUAUACUUCGACCUAUCUCAUCUAGUGCAUACCACUAUACUCAAUAACCUAGCGUUCAAUACUCUAGGGUUCUAUGUUCAUGUCACUUUAACCUAGAUACCACUGCCGUAGUUCAUGUCAUCUUUGCCCUAGAUGUCCAAUUCGUAGGUUUACUAGUUCGAUACCUAGGUCACGCCUGAGUACAGGCUGGAAGCCAUAUCCGCCGUACUGCCACAGACCCGUCAUACACCUGUAGUAAUAAGGCGUCUUUAUACAAGAAACAAGUCGAUAGGAGUAAAAAUAUAAGAAUAAUCCUAUCCUGAUAUCAAGAGCACAGAUAAAAGCCACAAAGACUAUCAACAAAGAACAGAGUGUCACCAAAAGUAUAAGCUUUACAAAAGAAAGCUACAUAAAACUACCAUAUCUGGCAUCAAAACUCAUAUGACAACACAGGGUACCAAAAUAUCUUGUACAAAGCGUAGUCUCGCCUAUAAACUGGACAUCACCCUCGGCCCGUAGCCGACAAAGCAAGGUUUGAUCGACAGCAUGCCCCUAGCAAUGUGCUAGCUAGACGCGACGUCCCUGCCACGGAUCCCUAGCUCUCCUGCUAGAUGGCUCUGAAAAAAAAUAACAACAAAAGGGGCGUGAGAACUUAUAAACAUAGUUCCGCAGCUGGGUAAGCCGCCAGCCUCGGCCCGAAUUACACCACUAGGUCAUGAAUGUACUGAAUAGAACGUAAAAGCAGUAAUUGAUGAUAAACAAUUGAUGCCCAAUGCUAACAGUAGGUAAUGAGUAUGAAAGUAAUGUGUAAUCAUAAUCUCAACAGUAAUGAAUCAAGUGAAUAAUAGAAGCAUAGCAACUAUGAUAAGCAUGAACAUAAGUAUAAAUGUGUAAGUAACUACUGUACACUGUAACUGAUAAUCAUUCAUUACUGUCCAAUUUUCUUUAGCACUUUCCUUUCAUUCACAGGGAUCUACCCAGGGUAAUCCAGCUUGCGCCGCGCCUAAUGGCCCCGUGGUAGUGUACACUCCCCACGGCAAUCCACUUCGGCACCGAAUCCCGCACGAGCGAGCAACUGUCGCGUAGGCCAACUCCGGAGUGCCGGCUUGUAGGGAGCUACCCUCAUAAGCAAGUGCGAAUGAGCACGAUGGCAAGCAAGCAAGGUCCACAAUCCAACAUGUCUCAACCAUCACUUUCCAACUUGCAAAGUUCUCGAUCCUUUGAUCGGAAUUUUCAAUAUAAUAAAUAUUGGCAAUAACUAGUAUUCACUAGAUUAAUAAGCCUGCAAGAGUAAUGCUACUUUACAUAUGGCAUUAGAAUCUUUCGUAAACAUGGCACUAUCAACAUAGGCACAAGCAUGUCAUUGUUGUCUACUUUACAAUCAAUAAGGUCAACGAAUGUCAUUAUUCUUUACUUAACAGGAACAUAAUAAACUUAUCUCUCGGUUGUUCUACUGAACUAAACAAGAAUAUCUCUAUGCAUAAAUGUUCCCUAUUUUAUAGAGAUUCUAUUUCAAUCAUAUAGCAAACAUUAUAGUGACAUAUUUCGAGUUCUAUAUUAACCACAAUUGCACCCAAUUAUAUUAAUUCUAUAAUACAUAUAGAACAUAGGGGAGCUUCACUUGCUCUGGUUAGGUCAAACCCACCUAUCACUAAGCUCAAAACAGCCCAAGAGAUGCUUCGAACUCAGCUCAAACGGUCCCUGGAUCUGCUGAAAAUAAAACAUCAAACCGUGUCGGAACGAUUACUUAGUAAUCUAAUUUCGGCUUCAAUGGCGCAUAAUACAAAGCAAUAACUUAAUCCCCUGCUUCGGCUAGUUUAAUACCUCAAGUCGAGUCUUCCAGAGCUUCCACAGGUCAGCCAAAAUCACUCCAAGAGUCGAUCACACUCCUGCUGCGAACAAUGUCAAAACGGCAUUAGAAUGCUUGUAUGCAAGCUUCUAUAGUCGGAUUCUUGCAAUUUCAGCUUCCUAGCUGAAAUUCUUGCUUACCUCGAGGUAGAACACCUUCUAAACCAGCCUCCCAGGUCACCAAAUAAGCUCCACGUGGUUCGGAAACCUGCUGCGAAGAUACAAUUCCCAAACUGCAUCAAAUACCCGAGUAACUUCGUAUAGUUCCGAACUAGCUUCACAAUUAGCUAAAUAUUUCCAUUAAGCUUCAAAGUAGCUUAACCUUGGUCUAAGGAGGUUAAUUCACAGCUAAUUAAUCCAACUUUCAUUGCUGAAAUCUCAGAUUAAAGCAACUAGAAGCAACAAUCCCGAAACUAUACAAAAUUCGUCCAAUAGAUUGCCGAAAAUUGAAAAAGUGAGCCGAUUACCUUCUCAAGCUUGCAACCAGUGAGUUACUGGUCCAGGGCUGCGAAAAGCUCUCCAAAACACUCCCCCACACGUCCACCAAGGCUCAGUGACACUCCCAAAUAGCGAAGAGCGAGCUCGGCGAUGACGACGGUGCAAAACGGUGACUUCUUUGUAGAGAGAGAAAAUCCCUAGAGAGAGAGAGUGUGAGGAAGGUGAAGAAACCCUUCUCUGAGCUCUACUACCUUCCAAGGUGCUCCAGAGCUCGAGCUGGAUCAGGUAGAUAAGGAUCAGGAGGUGAAAAGACCAAAACAGCCUUACUGCCACGCAGCUGCAGCUACUGCUGCUUGCUGUACCGGUACAGCAUUAGGCUUGUACCGGUACACCAAUGCAAAAAAUUGCAGAUUUCGCAAUAGCAAUGCACUUUCUCACUUCUAGCUUUCCGAUCACUCUCAAACUUAUUUGUAAACAUCUUUAAACCCUUUAAAACAUGUGGGAAGGUUUCAAAUGUCAUUCCUCACUCGAACUUUGCAAUUUAUUGAAGUUCAGUAUACUAAUAUACAAUAAGUUUAGGAGUCGCUUCAACGACGCACUUUCUUACAUCCAAAAGUCUAAUAGCUCUCAAAAUUGACCAACAACACCUUUACAAAUAUUAGGACCUGUGGUUACAUGCCACUCCUCAGCCCCACUUCCAACUUCUAUAAUUUUGCAAAGUUCAAGAUACUACACCUAGGUUUACUAACACUAGGUUAGAUGCCACACACCUAGAUCGUUCGACUCUAGGUUCACUUGUUUAACCUUUGUUCUUUAAUACUAGGUUAGAUGCCACUCGAUCUACAUGACAACCUAGUUGUCCAAUCAUCACUACUCAUACUAGAGUUAUCAACUAGUUAUAUACAUAUACCAUACAUCAUGCUUUCUACUUAGCAUUUACUCUAUGCAUCCUUGCUAACAUGCAUUCUUUACUUGUCACGCUAUCUACUUAGCAUCUUUAUCCAUGCAUCAUUAUUGUUAUGCAUUCUUUACACUAGCUAGCAUCAUCUAAAUGCCAUAAUCAUUAUGCUUCACUAUGCAUUGUUAUUAAUAUGCAUUUACUUCAUAUCAUGCAUUACUAGCAUUACAUUAUUAUCAUGCAUUACUAGCAUUAUGUAACUUGCUCACUAUGCAUUUCCACUUAGCAUUUUCAUCUAUACAUUAUCAUUAUCAUGCAUCCUUUACUUAACCUUUACUUUAUGCAUAUUUAUUAAUGCACCAUUUAGUCUUGUCUACAUGCACAUGCAUCAAUAUGAGAUUACAUUGCUAAGACAUAAAGGGCGACCUAGUCGCUUCGGUAAGCACAACCCACCUUAACUCGCGUUCCGAUUGCUUGUCGACACUUGCAAUCGGCCUCCCGCGGCACUCGGCACCCGUUUGGGCCCGAACUCUUGCGCGACUUAGCGAACGACCUCCGAACCGCGAUCCGUCUUUUCCGGAGUUUAUUCCUUGACUCCAAGAUGCUCCGGUUACGAUCUCACGAUUUUUAGGCUUUUAUUUCGCGUGCUGCGGCUAUCUGUACCAAAACCGUCUGUUUCGUCAAUAACUUCGCGUACACUCGUCGGAUUGUCGAACCGAGCGUUUCAACGCGUUCGUUAGGUCCCCAAUUAGGUUUCUAAGCGGUCAAAAUAGAUCAAAACCCCACAUGAGCAAAACCCCUCUUUGGGAUGCCCUAAUGUGCCAUUUGCUCAAUACCCCGGAUUUGAUCUUUAGAACAAGCAAAAGAGAGCUUGUUUAUCAUCUAGGAGCUCAACUAGGAGCAUUCGAAUCAUUUCUAGGGUGUUUAGAACAAACCCUAGAAAUUCACCAUUAGAGCCUCAUGAAGAACAACAUGGAUUUCAUGUGUUCUUGGUCUCUACAUGGCUCUAAACAUGUUAGAAGCUUCAAAACUCUAGGUUUUAGGGUUUAAAAACCAAACCCUAACCCUAAUCCAACCAUGAGAGGAGACAAAAGACUUACCUCUCUAGGUUACUCCAUGCAUGAGGAAGAUGAAGAUGAGGAUGAGCUUCAUCUUCUCCAUCUUUUUCUUCUUCUUCUUCCUUCUCUACUCCUUUCCUCUUCUCUUUCUUCUCUUCCUUUCUUCUCUUCUCUUCUCUUUGCUGUCCACGGUCGAGAGGGGGAGAGAGAGACACGAGAGGGGGAGAGAGAGAGAGCUGGGGUUAUAACAUAUUGUAACAAUUGCCAAAAGACCCCCCAAACAUUCAUAUUUGCAACAGAUCAAUUCUGUGCUGUUCGGGCUCCUUGUACCGGUACACGGUUUCUUGUACCGGUACAAGGCCUGGCAGACAGCCCAACCCGAGAGCUGGCUCUCUCGGUUACGCAGUGCUUGUACCGGUACAAGACCCCUUGUACCGGUACAAGACCCCUUGUACCGCUACAAGGCCUGGCAGCUCCAAGCCGAGUACUUCGCUGGUUGUACCGGUACAACCAUUGGGCUUGUACAGGUACAUGACAUCCAUAAAGUCAUUUUUGGCUUCGAUUCCACUCUACUUCGCGCCGUUCGAUGCCAAAACCCUCCUAACUCUUUUUGAGUUUACUUUUAGCCCUUCCAACCAUGUUGGAAUGUUAAUUGGGACUUGUCCAUCCAUCUUCUUCGCAUACUUUAGUCGAUUUGGCUAAAGUUCGAUAAUAUCUUCCGAAACCUCGGGGGUUACAGCUGCCUUAAGUUCAGCUCCUUCUGAGUGAAUAAGUACUUCAAGCUCUUGUGAUCCGUGUAUACUUCACACCGCUCGCCAUAAAGAUAGUGGCGCCAUAACUUUAAUGCAAAGACUACGGCCGCGAACUCCAAAUCAUGCGUAGGAUAGUUCUGUCACGCCCGGGUAUCAGCGAACGCAUACCCGACACAUGCACAGACCCGCCAUAUACCUGCAGUAUAUAAGGCGUCUACCAAAACAGGUCCAGUAAGAAAGAGAGUACAAUCAGACUCUAACUAGAUAGCAAAGGAACACAAAUACUAAAAGUGUACUGAUAAUAGGGAUUCAAGAGCAAAAUACAAAGAUACAAUAUGUCUAUCCUCUAAAUACAUCAAGUCUAUAUACAAAGGUAGUCUGUCUAUACACGGGCACACAUCACUUCUUCCGCAGCGUCGAAGUAGUGAAGUAAUCACCUAGCAAGCCUCGCACUAUAUCUAGCUAGACGCGACUCCCUUGCCGCGCUCCCUAGCCUCUCCCGAUGUAGAUGGCCGUGAAAAGCAAUAACAACAGAGGGUGUGAGAACUAUUAAACAAUAGUUCCCAGUGGGUAAGCCGCCAGCCUCGGCGAAUUACACCACUAGGCUCAAGAUAUACUAUUAGCAAGUAAUAACAGCUAUGAAAUGCUAGAUAUAUUAACAUGAAGAAACUGUAAAUAAAUAUCAUGCUAACAAGUAUAUCAAACAUGUAGCCGCAAGGAUGAAGUGACUAUGCAUAAGAACAUGUCAUGUGUAUAUAUCACUGUACAAGAAUACUUAUUGUUGUCCUUUAGCACAUUAGUUUAAUUCACAGGGACCUACUCAAAGUAGUCCAACUUGCGCCACUCCUAAUGGCCCCGUGGUAGUGUACACUCCCCACGGCAAUCCACUUCGGCACCCAAUCCCACACAGGCGAGCAAUCUGUCGCAUAGGCCAGCUCCGGAGUGCCGGCUUGUGAGGCGUGACCCUCACAAGCUUGUGCGAAUGGGCACAAUGGCAAUAAUCCCAAUCCAUAGCUUAACAAUUUUCAAUUUUCAUAAAGCAAGUAUGUAAGCUCUCAUUCUCGACUCAUAGGUCAGCAUUAAUAUAAUCAAUGCUAGUAAUCAUCAAUUUGGGAAACAUAUAAUGAAGAUGCUAAUUCACGAAUAUCAUCAACAUGGUAGCAUAUCAAUGUUCUUAGUUUGACCUCACAUGAAUGUUCUUGUUCUUUACUUAAUUAGAAGCAUAAUGAAAUCAUCAAGUUGAACUAGUUGUCGUCAAACAAUGAUACCCAACAAGUACGCGCAAGUACCCUGCAUUUAGCAACUUAGUCAUUCACUUGCAUCUAAAUAACAAUUCCAAAGUAUCAUACAGAACAUAGAGGAGAUUCACUUGCUCUGGUGAGGUCCGACCCACCUAUUAAGGGAAGAUCCCGAUCAACCAAGUAAUAGCGUGAAGUCCAACGUCUCUCAAUCCCUUAACACAAGUUAAAAUCAGCUCUUAGCUGAACAAUCAGAAAACCUCACCUAUUAAUGCAUACUAGGCAUUAAUUCAUACCUAGAACAAGGAAAAUUGAGUGAGCUCAAUAAGGAAGCUAGGUGUCCUCAAAACUCAGCUCAAACCUGCUCAAAGGAGUACCAAAAUCAGCUCAAGAUAAUCCGCGAACCUGCUGCGAGCAGUCUCCCAGAAACUGCGUCAACUAUGAACAAAGCAUCAAAAAUCGGCUAUUACUUCACCUUGAGUAGUGUAGUAGCUUAAUUUCCUAUUUUGGAGCUGUUUAAACUUGAAAUUUAACUCUCCGAAAGCUCCCCAAGGUCAGUCAAGAACCAAUCAAUUCGUUGUUGCAACCUGCCGCGAAGAAACAUCAAAAACAGCCUCGUCACACAAGAACUUCAAAGAAGUAUAGGCUGAAAUCUUACUAGAGUGAAUUCCAAUUGCAAUUUCUACUUACCACUCGCUGAAAUACCUUCCAACCUAACUUCACGAGGUCCCAAUUUCAGCUCAAAGAGGAAAUCAUGGUUGCUGCAACCCACAACACAAAAUCAGCACUAGAACCUCACAAACCUAGUAUAGCUUUAACAUAAGUCAACAAGUUGGCUAAUACCUGAUUCAAGCCUCUAAUCAGCUCCUUCCUGAGCUUGAGUAGGAAAAUCACAGCCUCCAAAACCCUCUUGGGCUGCGCCACACCUCCAUCCAAAUCCGCUGCUAGCAAAGAAUUCAAAUUGGCUCCAACAACCACUACUAACAACUACUAUGAAACUAGAGAGAGAAAAGUUGCUUAAUCCUUCAUACCUUAAUGCAAACCAGGUUCCAACUAAGUUGGGCUGCAAGAAAACCUUCACCUCCACCAGUUCACAGAAAGAGAGCUCCUCCAAAUCCUCCCGAACCAGCUAGCGCAAGGAAAGCACGUCGAAAAAGCCGAAACCACUACACCAAGCUCUCUUGAGCUCCAAACCCUAGAGAGAGAAAGAGGAUAGCUAAAACCUGUUUUUUCCUGAGUUUCUAAGUGUAAUACAACCUCAGGGUCGAGCUGGGAGGGAUAAGGAUGAGUAGGAGAUGUAAAAAGACCAAAAUGGCCUUGCUGCCACGCAGCUGCAGCUUCUGAUGCAUUGUGUACCGGUACACCAUGAUGGCUGUACCGGUACACAUUGCAGAAUCUGCAAAGUAGCAAGCUGCGAUGCACUUUCUCGCUUCCCGCACUCCGAACACUCUCAAAAUUGUUCGGUAACAUCUCCAAACCCUCGAGAACAUGUAGGGAAAAUCCAAAUAGCAUCACCACACUUGAACUCUGCAAGUUUGCUAAAGUUCAUCGCACUACAGUUUCUCUCAUAGUCCUUUAGUUGGCGAGAAGUAUACGCGAUCACCUUACCAUCCUGCAUCAAAACGCAACCCAAUUCAUUAAACGAAGCAUCACUAUAAACCACAUACCCUACUCCAGCAACUGACAGGGUUAGGAUCAGGGCGGUCGUCAAUCUUUGCUUCAAAUCUUGAAAGCUCCUUUCAUAAGCAUCGCUCCAAACGAACUUGACGCCUUUAUGCGUGAGUCUCGUGAGGGGUGUAGAUAACUUAGCAAACCCCUCGACAAAUCUCCAGUAGUAACCGGCCAAUCCAAGAAAGCUCCAUAUCUCCGUGACGCUCGUCGGUCUCGCCUCAAUCUUCUUGGGAUCCACGGCUAUACCCGAUCCUGAAAUCAAAUGUCCAAGGAAUGCCACCUCCCGAAGCCAAAAUUUACACUUUUUCAACUUGGCAAAAAGCUCCUUUUUCCGAAAUAUUUGAAGUACAAGCCUCAAAUGUUCCUCGUGAUUUGCAUCACUUCGGGAAUAAACCAAGAUGUCGUCGAUGAAUACCACAACGAACCUGUCUAGAUAAGACUUAAAAACACGGUUCAUUAAAUCCAUAAAAGCUGUCGGGGCAUUAGUAAGUCCGAACGGCAUAACUGUGAACUCAUAAUGUCCAUAACGUAUUCUGAAAGCCGUCUUCGAUACAUCCUCGGGUUUGAUCUUUAACUGGUGGUAUCCCGACUGCAAGUCGAUCUUGGAAUACACACACGAUCCCUGAAGCUGAUCAAAUAAGUCGUCGAUCCUUGGCAACGGAUACUUAUUCUUGAUCGUGACUUUAUUAAGUUCACAAUAAUCCACACAUAGGCGCAGUGAUCCGUCCUUUUUCUUGACGAAUAAGACUGGUGCUCCCCAAGGCAAGACGCUCUGUCGAAUGAAGCCCAUAUCCAACAAAUCCUGCAGCUGUGCCCUCAGCUCCUUCAACUCUGCCGGUGCCAUCCUAUAGGGCGCCUUUGAGAUUGGGAUAGUCCCAGGGACGAGAUCUACCAGAAACUCAAUCUCCUUAUCAGGUGGCAUACUCGGUAGCUCAGCUGGAAACACAUCCUGAAACUUCCGCACCAUCGGGAUAUCCUCAAUCCUAGAGGUGUCAUCAACGCCCCUCAGAACAACACUAGCCAAAAAGGCUAUGCAACCUCUGCUGAUCAGCUGCCUAGCUCGAGAAAAGCUGAUCGUCAUCGCAAACAGCGAACUCUGGCAUCCUCUAAAUACAACCUCAGUAUGCCCCGAUUCUCUAAAAGUAAUCGUGCGAUUCUUGCAAUGAACCAAGACAUAGUACCUAGUCAACCAGUCCAUACCCAAGACCACAUCGAACUCCUCCAACUUGCGCAAAGCUAGCAGAUCCACGGGCAUAAUCCAAGCCCCUACCCGAACAGGGGAACUGAAGCAAAACUCUUGAAUAUCCAAAAUGUGGUCAGGUACUACAACCUGUCCCGGAUGCAACAAGGGAACCAAAGGGAUGCCAUGCAACUCGGCAAACAACCGAUCUAUAAAUGAAUGUGAUGCACCGGUAUCAAACAAUACACGAACUCGAAUGCCAUUUAAUAAAAUAAUACCUGCAACCACAUCCUCGGCUACUGCCGCCUCCUCAGUCUGAGCGGCAUACAUGCGCCCACUCGGGGCCUGUCUAGAUCCCUCACUCUGUCGCUGGACGGAUGACCGUCCAGGCUGGUACUGUGCCGAUGGAGUCCCCUGACUAGCGGCUCGUAGAGCCAGUGCCGAUGCAAUCGACGGUGUCGGUGAUGAACCCCUCGGGCACUCGGUCCAGAAGUGGCCCUUCUGGCCACAAAGGAAACACCUCCCUCCCCGCUGCGGGCACUGCGAUGGAAUAUGGGGACCACCACAGAUCACGCAUUGGGGAGAUCGGCGUCGAUCAGAUCCUCCUCGCUACGCUGUCGAGCCGCGCCCACGCUGCUGGCUCCUAGGGUGCUUCGGCGGCCUCCUAAAGUGCAUCUGACUUGCACCCUCAGCCGCGGGCCUUUUGCCCUUACCCUUGUCCAAACCUUCUCGCCACUCUUGCACAUCCGCCGCGCCACUCUCCAUGAUGAGCGCGCGAUUCACCACCUCCCGGUAGGUUUGGAGGUUAGAGAAUUGCACAAACCGGAAGAUAGACGAUCGCAAUCCUUGCUCGAAGAUGCGGGCCUUGUCCUCGUCGUCCCGCACGACGAAAGGCACGCAAUGUAGAAGCCGAGAAAACUCCCUCUCAAACUCGGCUAUGGUCUGGUCUCCCUGGCGUAAGUUACGCAAAUCCUGUUCCAUUUUUCUCUUGACACUGUCAGGGAAGUAGUGCGCCAACAGAAACUCCUUGAACUUCUUCCAAGAAAUAGACGCCAAAUCGGUGCUGGGGUUCUCCUGAAUAUCCAACCACCAGCGGUAGGCCUUGCCAUCUAAGUGGUGUGUGGCGAGCCAAAAUCUGUCCCUCUCCUCUACGAAGGUGUCGCGGAAGAGCUUCUCCAUGUGCAUCAACCACUUUUCCACGAUCCAGUGGUCGACCUUCUCGCCGUCGAAGAUUCGUGGGCUGCACCUCCUGAACUCAUUGAGGCGCUCUAUAAGUCGAUCCCACUCUGCUCCCUCGACCAUUGCAGGAAAAAUCGUCCCCGCCGGAGGCACCUUAAUAGGUGGUGCUACAAAGUCCUCCUCCCGAGGCACGACUAGGGGGCCGCACGCGAAGAUCUGGGUGCGGGUGACGGCGCCCUCGGUGCGAUGUCCCCAACAAGUGCAGGGGGCGAAAGAACCGGAGCCUCCCUAGAAGCUGCCUGCUGUAGAAGAAGGUUCUCGAGCCGCUUCAUCCGCACCUCCUGUCGGCACGCCACAUCAGCCUGCUGCUGAGCUGCCGCUGUCUGCUUCGACACCAAGUCAGUGAGGGCCGCUAGCUGGCUCCUCAACCCACGGACCUCGCUGGAUCCGGCGGUAGCGGAGGUCUCUACCUCCUCAAGGUGUGCCGCAUUAUCCGCUCCUGCAGAUUGAGAGUGUAUCAUCGGUAUCUCACUACAACAUCUCACUACAACAUCAUAAAAGCGUAAGUUAGUAAAACCCACGCUAUCAAAUCCCCACUUCAGAAGAUAAUACCCAAAUCAUGUGAAAGUAAAGAAGUGUGCUUCACUACUAACUCCCGAUGUUACGUUGUCUCUCACGAGCCUAUUUCUUAUAGUCCAACCAGCCUAAGGUUUGCUAGGUCCACUAAGACUCAAUCCUAAUCUCUGAUACCAAAUUAAUCUGUCACCCCCCGAUACCUAGCGGAAGCCCACCCGGUACGUGUCCAGACCCGCCAUACGUCUAAAAUAUAUAAGGCGUCUACAAAACUACUAUAAAUAAAGUGAUAAUAAAAUGACAUCUAGGAGUAUCAGAGUAUAGAACAAUAUUUAGAUUCUAAGAGAUAUAGAGGCAAAUAAAAGAGUUAACAAAUCCACUAAGAGUAACCAUAAAGUAGUACAAUGAACAUCCAAAACACAAGUGCUAAAAGUACAACAAUGGUGUUCUCUAUACAUGGAUACAAAACCUCUCACUCUCAACUACAAACAAAAAGGAGAGUAAACCACCUAAUAAGCAAAAGAAACGCUCCUCGCUAGCUAGCUAAGCGAUUCCCUUGCCGCGAUCCCGUGCCUCCACCGGUGUAGAGGGCUCUGAGAUAGAAUCAUAAAACAGAGGGCGUGAGAACUAUUAAAUAAUAAUUUCUAGUAGGCAAUUACUUACUUCAGUGAAAUGCGCCACUAGGCCCAAAAGCUGAAAAGGGGUAAGUACGAGUAAAGCAAUAUGAACAAUAAGCAAAUAAACAUGAAAGUUUACUACAACAUGAUAUCUCUACUUAGCAUGAAUUUUCAUAAGUAAGAAUGCUACUAUACCAUAAAUAUGCAUAAGUGCAACUACUAUUGAUGUCCACAGAUAACUAGUAAAUGGUCAAUGUUUACUAACUUGUCAAAUUAUUCAUUUACAAAUUGGUUUCACUUGUUCCAAAUCUCAUAGGACCUACUAUGGGUAGUUCGGCUUGCGCCGUACCUAAUGGCCCCGUGGUAGUCAACAUCACCACUCUAGGAAUGAGCCUUCUCCACGGCAUCCCAUUUCGGCGUCCAAUCCCGCACGGGCAAGCAUGUGUCGCGAUGGCUAUCUCCGGAGUGCCGGCUUAUAGGGAGCGACCCUCAGAAGUAUGUGCGAAUGACCACAAUGGCAAACAAGCGUAAAUGUGAGACCCUGGAUAGUCCUAUAUAUAAGAUAUAAUAGGGCUAAACUCUUAACUCGGCUUAAGCAUUUUGGGUGGUGGCAAGGCCCAAGAGGUUAAGAGAGUUAAGCGUGCUAGGACGGGAGUAGUUCUAGGAUGGGUGACCCCCUGGGAAGUUGGGGCGUCACAGUAAAAGUCCGUCUCGAGUCUCAAGUCAUCAUGUCUAAAACAUGGAAUGUAGUAAAUCUCUCAAUGGCCUAUCACUAUGUCAUCAUGUCUAAAACAUGGAAUAUAGUCGAUGUCACAAUGGCCUAUCACUAUGUCUCUAUAUUGUAGUUUUACAGUUUGCUAGUUCGGUGCCCCUUUAUGGCACUUUUGUUCACUUUGCCCAAAUAUGAGUUUAGUAUUCAAGAAUACAUAAUUCGAGUCAUUUUCAUCAUAGAGGACAUAUUUCCAACUUGCAAUAUAUAAUACUUUUCACAUGCAUACCUAAUACACAUAUAGCUCUACUAUAUAGAGUUGAGUUUUCACGAUACAUAACACAUACAUUUUAAGUAUCCUAAAAUUUAUAAAAAUUCUAUCUAGUAUGAAUAUGUAUGCAUUUCGAUGAUACGACAAGUAUAAAACACAUAGGGGAUAUUUCUCCCCUGUUUCAUGAAGUAAAACCCACCGUGACUUCUUGAAACCCUUCGUUUGCGCCGACGAAGGUGCCCACUACUCUCCUAGUACCCUAAAGGUAACAAAAGGAGGGAUACACGAACGCUACGAAUAAUCAUAAGCUCAAACAUUAAGCAACUCAAGUAGAGGUGAAGGAAACUCACCGAAUGCGAAGAAAACCCCUCACGAUCUCCAAAAAGGAGUUAGAGGCCUUCUAAUCCAACCUAAACAAAGGUUCUAAGAAGAUCAAUUGGGCUGCAAAACCCUCAAAUUCAAAAUCCCCAUUACUAACCCUACUAUGCUCAAUCUAGAGUUUACUUAGUAAAAGCUACUAAAACAUGAAUCAAGAAGUAGAUUGGGCUUACUAACCUCACAAGAGCUCCAAAACAAGGCUUCAAGUAAGCUAGGGUUGAAGAUCCUCCCUCCACAAAGCUUUAAUCACAAGCUCAAGGCUUCUCCCAUGGUAGAAACCAACAAGAAGCAAAAAGAGACAAAAAGAAGGAGAUCAAAAACUAGCUAAAACCAUCAAAAAUUGAGAAGAAAUCAAAGGGAAAGAGGCUCACCUUGUUCUCCACUGGUUAGGGCUCAAAAAAGCUCUCAAAAGAGGCUGGGGUGGGUUAUAUAGAGUUUGCAACAAUUGCAAAUACACCCCUCCGCAAAAAUAGCUCGCACUGCAUUGUGUACCGAAAAGUGUACCGGUACACAGAAAAGUGUACCGGUACACGGGAAAGUGUACCGAUACAAAUCCUGCGAGACAGCCAGCCCGAGUCUUGGGUUGGCCAUUCACCACAUCUGUACCGGUACAACCAUCAAGGCUGUACCGGUACACAGCCCUGCUGAGGCAACCCGAGAGCAGAUCUAAAAAUCCAAUCUUUUGGAUUUUGGUGCCAAGUUUUAAACCUCGAUCUUCGGGAUACGAGCCAUAGGUCGGAACACUAUCAACGACCCUCCAGAUUAUCUGAAAAAACUCGGAACACAGAUCAAACACUCGAACCUCGCUAUUUACUAAGGUCCAGUGCGUUACACGUGACCUACUCCCAUUUCCUUUAUUGAUCACGAGGAUUCUUCAAGAAAAUGGAGUAGACGUGUCAUGUGAGAAAUACGAUACUGGUCUUGGACCAAUUGAUGUAGUGAUAUUGGCCAAGUCUGUAAGUACGUUGAAGACUUUUCAGCAGACUAAGGGAUCUUCCAGAGGAGCUUCUAGUUCAGCACCUCCACCUCGUGCAGAGCGUGAAGGAUCUUCGAGUUUAGGGGGAGUUAUCACUGUAGAGUCACUUCACCAUGAGGUGCGAUCUUUAAAGAAGAAGGUGGAGCUACUUGGUAAAAAUAUGGAAGAAGGAAUGAAGAGGAUUAUGGAAAAACUGGGAUGUCGACAUGACGACGUAUUUCCUACCCAUACUACCUAUACGAGAUCGACAUUGAGACAUCCACUCAUUCCACCGUCCACUGGUGCUCCUGAUGUUAGGAAAUCUGGAGCUGUAGCAGGAGAUGAUGAUGAUGAUGAUGAGGAGGACACCGAGUGACGUCAUCUUCGAGCUUUGUUUCUUUAUUUUAGGACGAUGUUUACUUUGCUUAGUUUUUUCUUCUCUUUACUUUGCUUGUUUUUGCAUUUGCUUUAAGCCUGUAACUAUGACUUGACUACUUUUCUGCUUUCUGUCGCGGCUUCCCUGCACUGUGCCGUGAACCGUGCCACAUGUUCGACGGUGUUUUCAGUCUCAUUCCCAGAAAAUUUAUCAAACUUCGGCAUUUUUCAGUUUGCCGGGUAUGGAUGCUCUUUGUCUAUAUUUGCAGGAUAAGAUAAUCUAAUAUAGGCCGCAUUGUCGGCCUUGCGCCUACUCCAAAAGUAUUUUAGAUGGCUUCUUCAAUUUGCGCAUAUAUUUCAUUAUUGUUUCCCUGCAAAGGAACUUGUGAUUGUGCUGCAUUCGGUCCUUGUAAUGGUCCGAAGUUUUGUACUAUGGAAUUUGCUCCUUGAAUAUUUGGAGCCUGCCCCCCAGCUCUAGCUCCUACAUUUUGGGGCUGGUAUGUUGCCAUCGACGGAGGUGGUGAAAAUCCACAUGUAAUUUUCGGCUGUUGACCGGUAUUAACGACUGCCGGUCUGUAAGCCGCUUAGAAUGGUGCCCCCUGCUAUUUACCGGUAUCGCAGGAUUUUGCAAUACUGGUGUCAUCAUAAGCCUUUGUAAGCCUAUCAUUGGUUGCUCAUUUCGAGUCAAUAAUUGCUCUAUUCGUGCAAUAUUUUCAUUAUAGGCCGUGAUGGCGGCCAGCACCACAUCUAGUCGAGCGGUACUUUGAUGGAUAUUUUGAUCUAAAGUUUGCAGGACUCGGCUCAUCUGGCCGAGUGCCCGAUGUAGACUCGGUUCUUGAUGAGCCAACUGUCCACUAGUUUCUCUUUCAACUGGCAAAACUACUUGACAUUCGCCAUCAUUAUCUGAAUCACUAGGUUGAUCACUCCCAGAAUUUCUAGGAACAACCCAUGCGCAAAUUCAUGGCAUUAUCAUCAGCCAUAAUUUCAAUAAGAAUGUGAAUUUAUCUAAAAUCGAGUCCUACCGGGCGUGCCAAAAUUAUUAGGCUGCCGAAUUUUCCAACCCUUGACCCAGUCAAAGAUCCUCCUCGGAAAGUGCGUCGGGGCGAGGAACGACUACGGAUAGUGACCCUCGAAGUUUGCGCCCUUCGACUGGAUCAAGCGAUUCAGCUGAUGAGGGAUCAAAUCAGCCGGGUUCGAAAACCUUCACUAUAAAACUGGUUCGGCUGGAAGAGCCGAAUGUACGAACUGUGCAGGGAUCAAUGUCGGCAGAAGUGCCGAAUGGAAGAAGUACACAGUAACUGGUCGGCUGAAAGAGCCAAAUGGAAGAAGUACAUAGUAACUGGUCGGCUGAAAGAGCCGAAUAGAAGAAGUACACAACGACUGGUCGGCUGAAAGAGCCGAAUACCUUUAUAUAAUAAUAAAAAAGAGUGUGCCCGAAGGGCAUACAGACUCAGAAAUAUAGUUUAUAAUAGAGUGAUGCCCGCGUGGCAGACAGACUCUGCAAAUGUAGUCUACAACAGAGUGAUGCCCGUGGGGCAGACAGACUCCAGGGUUCUACUUAGCGAACUACUACUAGGAAAGCAGUAAAUGCGGAAAAGAAAAAGAUUACAUUUAAACUACUAGAAAAGCGAUAAAAUGCAGAGGAAAUAAGAGUGAUCUUCUCGUUCAGGAUGGAGAAAGACCCCCAUUACAGGCUUUGAAGUUACUAUUUAUAGUGAUGUCUUCUCAGCCCACAUUAUUGGUCGGUUGAAAGUAGUGGGGGAGUAGUUGUAACCAUGAUCGUGGAAGUUACGCCCACUCCUCAUGGAAGUUAUGCUCCAUCGUGGAAGUUAUGCCUACUUCUCAACCGUUCCCGCCAAAAACCUUCAAGCGCCUUAUUGCCGACUCCUGGUGUACCACGUGUCUUUAUUGGCUCAUACGUGGAUUAGGUCGGCAUGUUAAUUUCAAUUUUGGCAUCAACAGCAACUAAACCAAAAUAAGAAACCAUCUCGGGUGGUCCCUAUCUAGGGCACGAUACCCUUACCGCGAUCAUCCGCCGGCUCGCUCGGUCCAGGCUCUGUGAAAAAUGGGGUGUGAUAACUACAACAAAGUUCCUAGUGGAUUUGGCAACCAACCACGCCGACUUUCCCACUAGAUCUAAAUCAGGCAUAAUGUAAGAAAAUAGAUGUAGAUAGUAACAAAACUGUACAAAUGCAGCUAAUAUGCCUGAACAAUAAUCGAUGCAAUGCUCAGUAGUAUGCUCAUGAUGAAUGCAAGAUCACAAUCAUUGCCCAAUCUCUUGGCUAACCCGUAGGUUUCGCCCCCAACGACUCACCAACCAAAUCCCUACUAUCGGGGAGAUACCCGCUACAACCCGACAGGACCGUCCUCUGGGGAGAUACUCGCUACUACCCAGUGAUGAUAACUCCGGAGGAAGAACUACCACCCUCGAGUAAGGACUUACAGGUGAGUAUGAUCCAAUCCUUAACUAUAAGGAUGUCAAGUCCAAUUUAUUCCUUAACUAUAAGGAAACAAUGCACAUAUGACCCUUAAUUCUAAGGUUGUUAUGUCAUAAUGUCACUACCUUUGUAUACUUGCAUUCAUUAACCUUUACUAGUGUCAUAUACACUACUUUGUUCUUGUACUCAUUCACUAAUGCCACACUUGUUUUCUAAGUGUUCGACUUAGCACUCUUGACUCAUCAAUGUCAUUUUCUACAUUCAUGUCCACAUGUCACAUUUGUUCUCUAAAUCUAUUAAGUUCUUGUCAUUUAUCAUGCAUACGUAGGGUUAUAAAAUUUUCACAUGCAUUUGAACUCGCAACAUGCAAAAAGAAGCCUAAAAUUACCCUACUAUGCAAUAUGCUCAAAUACAUACAUAUGCUCAAAUAUGACACUUUAGAUAUAAAAGAAAUUUCGAGGUCCUUGGUAUGCACCACCCACCUUGUAUGAUUGCAAAUGUGCUACGGUGAAUUUCUUGAAGUUUUCGAAGCCCUACUUUCUCGCCUGCGGCAAAACGAAGCCAAAUUAGGCUUUAUACUUAGAACUCCUACGUAGGCUUUUCGUAACGUCAAACUGAGUUGCCCAACGUGUUCGUUUGAUCCCUAAUUAGGUUUUUUUAAGAUCAAUUUGCCAUAGAAACAUGCGGAAACAAAAGCUCCAAAUUGGGUGCCCUAACAUUGCCAUUUGCUAAAUCCUAGGUUUUGAUCUCUAAAACAAGCAAAAGAGAGUUUGUCUAAUCUCUAGAAGUUCAUUUAGAACCAUCCAAAUCAUUUCUAGGGCAUAUAAAGCAAACCCUAGAAAUCCACCAUUAGAGCACUUUGAAGAAACAUGAGUUUUCAUGUGUUCUAUAGCUCCAACUAGCUUUCUAUACUCAUUAGAAGAUCAAAAUCUAGUUUUUUAGGACAUAAAUCCAAACCCUAGCCUAGGUUUUCAUGAAAACCUCACCUUGGCCCAAAGCUUUCCAAGGUCUUUCUUGUUGGAGAGAUCUAGAUCUUCUCCAAGCUUCAAAACCCUCCAAAAAUCCUUCUCCUCCUAUUCCUCCUUACUCCUUUGAGAGAUUUCUAGAGAGAGAGAGAGAAAUGAGAGGGAGAGGGUGUGUGGGGUGUUGGCUGUGAAGGAGAGGAGUGUGGGGUAUAUUACAUGUUGUAACAUUUGCAACUAAGCCCGCCCAAAAACGCUUAUUUGCAACAGACCUUAUUGUUGCUGCCAGACCAAAGUGUACCGGUACACUUUGUUCUGUCACCGGUUACACGAUUACGCAGAGAGCAACCCGAGAGCAGCCUCCUCGGAUUUUACCAAUGUGUACCGGUACACACCAGGGGUGUACCAAUACACUUCUAUGAAAACUCAAACCCGAGAGCAAGUUCUUCUCGGUCUGCAGGGCUGUACCGGUGACAACUCGAUGGUUGUACCGGUACACUUUGCCGAGAAUGUUGAUUUUGCACCAUUUUCGAUUUUAUUUCGCGCCGGUCGAUGCUAAGACCCUUUUAACUCUUUUAGAACUCUUUUUUAACCCUUCCAAUAUUGCUGGAAUGUCAACCGCACUUUGUCCAUCCAUUUCUCUCGGCACUUUAACCAAUUUGGCUAAAGUUCGAUAAUCGCUAUCGGGGUUUCGAUACGUUGCAAAGAAUUCAAGAACAAAGGGGGAGAAGUCUUGAAGUUUCGAGAAAAAUGACAUUGAAGGUAUAUUGAAGGUAUAAGAAUCUAAUGGUUUCAAAUUUCUACAUUAUUUUUGGAUAAUCUGUUUUGCAGGAAAUCAAGACUUCAAGACUCCUAGUUGUGAAGUCUGUUUUAGGAGUUUUGAUGUAAUUUUGAAUUUCAAAUUGUAUUUGGAUUACACGCGAGUUCAAUGUUUUGGUGAUGACAAUUGAACUUCAUUUUCUUUUAUGAUGUAAUUUGUGAGUUUUUGAGUUUUAUCACAAAAUUGCCAAAGUGGGAGAUUGUUAAAUCUUGAGUGUUGGCAAGUUUCGUGAAUUGAGUCCGAGUCUUGAAGGUUCGGUGCGUAUCGUCGAAGAUCGAAGAAUCCAAGACUUCGGAGAAAUCAAAAAUAACUCACAACAUGAAUGACGAUGCUCAGAUAAAGUUUUGUUACAUGUUAUGGUAAUUCAUACUUAGUUAUAGACGUUAGAAUCAUGAAUAUCAAAGUUUAGUGGAUUAGAAAGUACCUCGGAGUUGUGUGAAACUCGAAACAAUGCAAAAUCUGAAAAUUGCAUUGUAUACCGGUACAGCAUUGAACGUGUACCGGUACAAAUCAUGUUUCGGUACAACCAUCGACAUGUAACCGGUUUCAGAGUUUCGUUGGUUUUUUGUUCCGUCAUUGUGUAACCGGUAACACCUUAAAAGUGUACCGGUACACAAUGUAAAUUUCGAAAAACUUUCUAAUUCGACUUUAAUUGAUUCUAAAGCCUAUAAAUAAGCUAUUAGGAUUCUCUAAGUCAUGAAGCAUCACGAAAAUACAUGUUUGAGAAACCCUAGAGGCUCGAAUUUCAUCUAAAACCUAUUUUCUACAUUUUAGCCUCUUUUAGGUCAAAUCGUGAUAUUGAAAAUUGAUAUCUAUAUGUCGAUUUGAUCUACUCUUCGCUUGAAGUUCUCUUCCCUGGCUUUCAUCGAUACUCUAAGCGAAGGAUCAUCAUAUUCAUGAUAUUCUUCAUGGGCGGUGUCGUGGAUUCGGCGUGAUUGAAGACAGUUCGAGGAUUCGGAUCGAAAGCUUCGUGGAUUCGAAGUGGAGGCGUUUCAUGGAUUUAGAACGUGGCAUUCGUGGAUUCAAACAUGAGGGCGUGGACAACCCGGAGGAUUGCGCGAGAUUCAUAGGAGGUUAAGAGAGGUUAAGUCCGUGGGAUCGGUAAUCACCUUAUAAUCUUUUCUUUUAGUGAAUUAUUUUUUCGCGUGUUGGUCCCGUAGGUUUUUCUCUAAUUUGGAGUUUUCCCACGUAAAUUUCGGUGUGAUUUUUAUUUUCCGCAUUUAUUUUUUAUCACACUGAGAUUUGAGGUUUUUGGCUUUUACACCUAUUCACCCCCCUCUAGGUGUUUUAUACAAUCUAGAUAGAUCCUUGGGCUCCUCAAAACUUACAUUAUCUUGUACACGUAGAAGAUGAUGAAUUAGGUCUUAUCCAUAAACCCCACUAUAAUUGCAACUUAACCCCUCUCAUUUAAUGAAAUUUUCACUCAACCCAAACUUUUGCUUCUAAACUUCCUCCAAUAUUAGUCUCAUACGCCAUUUUCUCCAAACUUGGCCCAAUUUGGCCAAAAUUCGGGAAAUUAUCCUGAAAGUUAGUACACUACACUUUCGGCCAAUGAAAUGGAUCUGAUACUAAAAGUAACAACCUCAUAGUACUAAAAUGAAAAAUCACUAAAUCAUAGAGAUGAUAUUUGAAGUUUUUUCAAAAAAAGAAAAAGAAAAAGAAAAAGGUUAAGUUUAGGGGCCAUUUCAUUAUGCCUUGUAGGUGAGGGGGCCUCGGUACAUUCCCACCUCAAUAACUUUGCGCUCUUUCUAAAAGCACCGAACCCAUAAGCUAUAUUCUAUUUGGGGUUCCAACUUGUUUUACUGAUCUACGCUAUCGUACGAACUAUUUUCAGAAAAUAAGUUUUGAGUCCAAAAUGGACUAAUUAAUUCAACAGCCUACCUGGUUGAUUUUGAUAUUUUUGUUUUGAUUUCGAUAUUUCUGUUCUGCACCCAAAAAAAAAAAAAAAAAAAAAAAAAAAAAAAAAAAAAAAGGAGAAAAGCUUCGUGCUUGCUUUGUUGGAUUUCUAUAUUUUAGAGCAACAGAUCGGAUCCAAGCCGUCUCUAUAACCAAACUAAAUUGACAGAAACAACGAAUCCCACAACCAAAUUCGAAAACAGUAAUUCCUCACCAAAUUUUGAAAAAAAAAUAUUAUAUUCAGAUCUAAGUUUCUAAAGUGCGAAUUCAAAUAUAAUAUGAAGCACGCAUUCACAUGUGGGAAGGAUGGACAAUUAGCUAGAGCAGCAGGCGCCGCAGCGAAACUGAUUGAAAAUCAAGGUAAAUCGGCCCACAUCAGGACUACCAUCUGGAGAGGUCCGUUUGACAUCCAAAAAUUUCGUAGAAAGAGUUGAAAGUUCCUAUUAUCAAAAACAACUUAUUAUGUAUUAUCCAAAACAACUUAUGGGUACAAAGACAGGCUAAGGCUUCGCAAACCAUCUUCCAUUCAGCCUAAACUAUGUUGGGACCUCUCUCUAUCUCUAUGUGCGACCAAACGACGUUGGAUAGAAGGCUCAAACAUGUUGGCAAAACUUAAAACGGAUCUGUAAAUAUCUUAUCACAAGUAACCAUUCUUUAUUUUUGAUAGUUGCGAGCAACUUGAAUCAUGUCGCAAGCCAUACCAAUUGGUUAAACCGAAUCCAACUGAAUUGAGUUUGAUGUAGAUUUACAAAU